CCAAUAGCGUAUAUUAAAGUUGUUGCAGUUAAAAAGCUCGUAGUUGAAUUUCGGGAUCAUCAGGUUGGUCGUGCCUCUGGUAUGUACUGAUUUCGAUGGUUCCUCCUUCUUGAAGAUCCGUAAUGCCAUUAAUUUGGUGUUGCGGGGAAUUAGGACUGUUACUUUGAAAAAAUUAGAGUGUUUAAAGCAGGCAAUCGCUUGAAUACAUUAGCAUGGAAUAAUGAAAUAGGACGUUCGAUCCUAUUUUGUUGGUUUCUAGGAUUGACGUAAUGAUUAAUAGGGAUAGUUGGGGGCAUUAGUAUUCAAUUGUCAGAGGUGAAAUUCUUGGAUUUAUUGAAGACUAACUACUGCGAAAGCAUUUGCCAAGGAUGUUUUCAUUAAUCAAGAACGAAAGUUAGGGGAUCGAAGACGAUCAGAUACCGUCGUAGUCUUAACCAUAAACUAUGCCGACUAGGGAUCGGAUGAUGUUAAUUUUUUAAUGACUCAUUCGGCGCCUUACG
rnacentral:rRNA from 1 species